UGAGCAAUCUGCCCUUCUCAUCGGAAUAAGCGUUGGAAACGACGUCUAAUGCCGAAUACGACCUCCUUUCGCAUGAUCGGAGGUGGAAAGCUCCGGCGGAGAAGGAUGAGCUCGCGGCCUAUCAGCUAGUUGGUGAGGUAACGGCUCACCAAGGCGACGACGGGUAGCCGGCCUGGAGGGGGUGACCCGGCCACACGUGGGACUGAGACACGGCCCAGACUCCGUACGGGAGNAG
rnacentral:rRNA from 1 species